AGGGAAUCAAUUGGUCACAUCAGGAGGGCCUGGGGCUGGGCGUUAGUGCUGAUCAUCCUCAACUCUAUGCACAAGUACCAGCCGCGGCUCCACAUCGUUAAGGCUGAUGAGAACAAUGCUUUCGGCUCCAAAAACACUGCUUUCUGCACCCACGUGUUCCCAGAGACCUCCUUCAUCUCUGUGACCUCCUACCAGAAUCACAAGAUCACCCAGCUGAAAAUUGAGAACAACCCUUUUGCCAAGGGAUUCCGGGGCAGUGAUGACAGUGACCUGCGUGUGGCCCGACUGCAGAGCAAAGAAUACCCCGUGAUUUCCAAAAGCAUCAUGAGGCAGAGGCUCAUCUCCCCCCAGCUCUCGGCCACACCGGACGUGGGCCCCCUGCUCGGCACCCACCAGGCACUCCAGCACUACCAGCACGAGAACGGGGCACACUCGCAGCUCACGGAGCCUCAGGACCUGCCCCUCAGCACCUUUCCCACCCAGAGGGACUCAAGCCUCUUCUAUCACUGCCUGAAAAGACGAGGUUGUCUGUGGCUGCUUUCAUG
rnacentral:sRNA from 1 species